rnacentral:rRNA from 1 species
CCUUUGACGUUAGCGGCGGACGGGUGAGUAACACGUGGGUAACCUACCUAUAAGACUGGGAUAACUUCGGGAAACCGGAGCUAAUACCGGAUAAUAUUUCGAACCGCAUGGUUCGAUAGUGAAAGGUGGUUUUGCUAUCACUUAUAGAUGGACCCGCGCCGUAUUAGCUAGUUGGUAAGGUAACGGCUUACCAAGGCGACGAUACGUAGCCGACCUGAGAGGGUGAUCGGCCACACUGGAACUGAGACACGGUCCAGACUCCUACGGGAGGCAGCAGCU